rnacentral:rRNA from 1 species
CCUACGGGUGGCAGCAGUGAGGAAUAUUGGUCAAUGGCCGAGAGGCUGAACCAGCCAAGUCGCGUGAGGGAAGACGGCCCUACGGGUUGUAAACCUCUUUUGUCGGGGAGCAAAGCGAGUCACGUGUGACUCAUUGAGAGUACCCGAAGAAAAAGCAUCGGCUAACUCCGUGCCAGCAGCCGCGGUAAUACGGAGGAUUCGAGCGUUAUCCGGAUUUAUUGGGUUUAAAGGGUGCGCAGGCGGAGGUGCAAGUCAGCGGUAAAAUUGCGGGGCUCAACCCCGUACUGCCGUUGAAACUGCAUCCCUUGAGUGCGGGAGAGGUAGGCGGAAUGUGUGGUGUAGCGGUGAAAUGCAUAGAUAUCACGCAGAACUCCGAUUGCGAAGGCAGCAUACCGGCGCGCAACUGACGCUCAUGCACGAAAGCGUGGGGAUCGAACAGGAUUAGAUACCCUUGUAGUC